rnacentral:miRNA from 1 species
GGGAUCUUGUGAAAAUGCAGAUUCUGAUUCAGUAGGUCUGGGGUGGGCCCUGAGAGUCUGCAUUUUUAACAAGCUC